rnacentral:rRNA from 1 species
GGCAGACGGGUGAGUAACAUGUGGGUAUCUGCCCUUUGGCCUGGAAUAACACGAGGAAACUUGUGCUAAUACUGGAUAAGUCUUUACGGAGAAAGCUUUAUGCACCAUUGGAUGAGCCUGCACUUGAUUAGUUUGUUGGUGGGGUAAUGGCCUACCAAGACUUUGAUCAAUAGCUGAUUUGAGAGGAUGAUCAGCCACAUUGGGACUGAGACACGGCCCAAACUCCUACGGGAGGCAGCAGUGGGGAAUCUUGCACAAUGGAGGAAACUCUGAUGCAGCGAUGCCGCGUGAGUGAAGAAGGCCUUUGGGUCGUAAGGCUCUUUCGUCGGGGAAGAAAAUGACUGUACCCGAAUAAGAAGGUCCGGCUAACUUCGUGCCAGCAGCCGCGGUAGUACGAAGGGACCUAGCGUAGUUCGGAAUUACUGGGCUUAAAGAGUUCGUAGGUUGUUGAAAAAGUUGGUGGUGAAAUCCCAGAGCUUAACUCUGGAACUGCCAUCGAAACUUUUCAGCUAGAGUUUGAUAGAGGAAAGCAGAAUUUCUAGUGUAGAGGUGAAAUUCGUAGAUAUUAGAAAGAAUACCAAUUGCGAAGGCAGCUUUCUGGAUCAUUACUGACACUGAGGAACGAAAGCAUGGGUAGCGAAGAGGAUUAGAUACCCUCGUAGUCCAUGCCGUAAACGAUGUGUGUUAGACGUUGGAAAUUUAUUUUCAGUGUCGCAGUGAAAGCGAUAAACACAC